AUCACUUCUCAGCCUUUUGGCUAAGAUCAAGUGUAGAAUUUGCUCUUAACUGGUUAAACACAAGGUCUUCCAAGUCAGGCUGCCUUGGUUCAAAUUACACUUCUAUCAGGGAUGAGGUGUGACAAGGGCCAGCACACUAUGACCACCAAGGCAAAUCCCACCCACAGACUGCAUCUGUAAAUAAAGUUUUAUUGGAACACAGUCAGGUCCA
ensembl:snRNA U2 U2 spliceosomal RNA